rnacentral:rRNA from 1 species
CCUACGGGGGGCAGCAGUAGGGAAUCUUCCACAAUGGGCGCAAGCCUGAUGGAGCAACACCGCGUGAGUGAAGAAGGGUUUCGGCUCGUAAAGCUCUGUUGUUAAAGAAGAACACGUAUGAGAGCAACUGUUCAUACGUUGACGGUAUUUAACCAGAAAGUCACGGCUAACUACGUGCCAGCAGCCGCGGUAAUACGUAGGUGGCAAGCGUUAUCCGGAUUUAUUGGGCGUAAAGAGAGUGCAGGCGGUUUUCUAAGUCU